rnacentral:rRNA from 1 species
AGGACGAACGCUGGCGGCGUGCUUAACACAUGCAAGUGGAGCGACGAACCAGGGCUUGCCCUGGGGCAGAGCCGCGAACGGGUGAGUAUCACGUGGGUAACGUACCCCGAUGACUGGGACAACCCGGGGAAACCCGGGCUAAUACCGGAUGUGCCCCCUCACAUCAGUGAGGUGUGUAAAGGAAGCUUCGGCCUCCGCAUCGGGAUCGGCCUGCGGCCCAUUAGCUUGUUGGUGAGGUAACGGCUCACCAAGGCUGCGAUGGGUAGCUGGUCUGAGAGGACGAUCAGCCACACUGGGACUGAGACACGGCCCAGACUCCUACGGGAGGCAGCAGUGGGGAAUCUUGGACAAUGGGGAAACCCUGAUCCAGCCAUGCCGCGUGAGUGAUGAAGGCCCUAGGGUUGUAAAACUCGUUUCGGCGGGGACGAGUAAUGACGGUACCCGCAGAAGAAGCUCCGGCUAACUUCGUGCCAGCAGCCGC